GUCGUCAGCUCGUGUCGUGAGAUGUUGGGUUAAGUCCCGUAACGAGCGUAACCCUUGUCCCUAGUUGCCAGCGGUCCGGCCGGGAACUCUAGGGAGACUGCCGGUGACAAACCGGAGGAAGGUGGGGAUGACGUCAGGUCAUCAUGGCCCUUACGGCCAGGGCUACACACGUGCUACAAUGGGGCGCACAGUGGGCAGCAAGCGCGCGAGCGCAAGCGAAUCCCUUAAAACGCCUCUUAGUCCGGAUCGGAGUCUGCAACUCGACUCCGUGAAGUCGGAAUCGCUAGUAAUCGCAGAUCAGAAUGCCGCGGUGAAUACGUUCCCGGGA
rnacentral:rRNA from 2 species